rnacentral:misc_RNA from 1 species
UUGCUUCCAGCACUUCCAACAACAUAGCAACCUAACAAUUUUGCAAACUGGCCAACAAGAUGACCUACAGCACCAGAAGCUGCUGAAACGAAGACAAACUCCCCUUUCUUAGGAGAGCAUAUCUCAUAAAAACCACCGUAAGCAGUCAGACCAGGCAUACCAAGAAUUCCAAGAUAACAAGAAGGGGGCACAUCUCUGUCAUGAAUUUUAAAUAGAGUCUCUGUUGCUGUUAUGAGACUGUACUCUUCCCAUCCAGUCAUUCCCCACACUAAGUCAUCGUUCUUGAAGUCUGGAUGACUUGAAUCCACAACUUUGGCCACUCCACGCCCAGUUAUAGGCGAACCAGGGUUGAAGGGUGCGAAAUAUGAGCCCUGGCCCUUUCUCAUCCGGAUUCUCAUGUAGGGAUCGCAAGACAAGUAGAGAUUCUUGACAAGAACCCCCUUUGUAUCAGUCGGGACCUUGAGUUUGAUGGUAGCAGUGGUGAUAUACAUGUCUGAUUCUUGAAGGGUACCAGGCACGUAGUCCUUGAAAAUCACCUGCUUGUUACUCACUACUUCACCAUCAUCACUCUCCAUUGUUUGGUUCAAUAGCUCUGUGUGAACAGAACACAGCAAAGGAAAUGUAAACGAAAGGAAAACGAAAGGCUACAGACAAAGAGAGCCUUUACGUCAUAUAAUAUAG